rnacentral:rRNA from 1 species
GAUGAACGCUGGCGGCGUGCCUAAUACAUGCAAGUCGAGCGAACAGACGAGAAGCUUGCUUCUCUGAUGUUAGCGGCGGACGGGUGAGUAACACGUGGAUAACCUACCUAUAAGACUGGGAUAACUUCGGGAAACCGGAGCUAAUACCGGAUAAUAUUUUGAACCGCAUGGUUCAAAAGUGAAAGACGGUCUUGCUGUCACUUAUAGAUGGAUCCGCGCUGCAUUAGCUAGUUGGUAAGGUAACGGCUUACCAAGGCAACGAUGCAUAGCCGACCUGAGAGGGUGAUCGGCCACACUGGAACUGAGACACGGUCCAGACUCCUACGGGAGGCAGCAGUAGGGAAUCUUCCGCAAUGGGCGAAAGCCUGACGGAGCAACGCCGCGUGAGUGAUGAAGGUCUUCGGAUCGUAAAACUCUGUUAUUAGGGAAGAACAUAUGUGUAAGUAACUGUGCACAUCUUGACGGUACCUAAUCAGAAAGCCACGGCUAACUACGUG